rnacentral:rRNA from 1 species
GAUGAACGCUGGCGGCGUGCCUAACACAUGCAAGUCGAACGGCAACACUGGGAGCUUGCACUGGUGCGGUUAGCGGCGGACGGGUGAGUAAGACGUGAAUAACCUGCCCUUGAUUCUGGGAUAAGCCCGGGAAACUGGGUCUAAUACUGGCUAAUACGUGCUACGGCAUGGUGCAGUGGGGAAAGGGAUUUUCUGCGUUUGGAUGAGCUGAUGUCGUAUCAGCUUGUUGGCGGGGUAAUGGCCUACCAAGGCGACGACUGGUAGCCGGCCUGAGAGGCUGAUCGGCGACACUGGAAGGGGGACACGGUCCAGGGUCCUACGGGAGGCAGCAGUGGGGAAUAUUGGGCAACGGGGGGAAGCCUGACACAGCGAGCCCGCGUGUGUGAAGAAGGCCUUCGGUUAGUAAAGCCCUUUUUUUGGGAAAGAACAUCUGUAGGUUCAGACGAAGCGGUUGUGACGGUACCUAAAGAAGAAGCACCGGCUAACUACGUG